AUUGAACGCUGGCGGCAGGCUUAACACAUGCAAGUCGAGCGAGCGGCGGACGGGUGAGUAAUGUCUGGGAAACUGCCUGAUGGAGGGGGAUAACUACUGGAAACGGUAGCUAAUACCGCAUACCAUCAGAUGUGCCCAGCUGGGAUUAGCUAGUAGGUGGGGUAAUGGCGAACCUAGGCGACGAUCCCUAGCCGGUCUGAGAGGAUGAACGGCCACAUUGGGACUGAGACACGGUCCAGACUCCUACGGGAGGCAGCAGUGGGGAAUAUUGCACAAUGUGCGCAAGCCUGAUGCAGACAUGCAGCGUGUGUUAAGAAUGCCGUCGGGUUGUAAAGCACUUUCAGCGAGGAGGCGUGACUCGCAGAAGAAGCACCGGCUAACUCCGUGCCAGCAGCCGCGGUAAUAC
rnacentral:rRNA from 1 species